GUGUGGGUAUACUGAUUGCCCCCUGGAUUAGUGCCUCUACAUUGGGGUUAACACUGGCAGAAGACUGCCUUUGGUCUGGGGGACUGGUCAUGACUGUUGUUUGUACUUCUGCUUGGGAACCUAAAUGGUCACGUGGGCAAUGACAGUGAGACCUGGAAGGGCGUGAUUAAGAGGAACGGCCUCCCUAACCUCAAUUUAAGCAGUGUCCUGUUAUGGACUUCUGUGCUCAUCCUGGAAUGUCCAUGAUUAACACGUAGUACUAUGAAUAAGUAAUAGAGCAAUAAUCUGGUACAGUGACAAUUGCACAAAUGGUGCAAGUAGUUUAAAGUGACGAGUAAUGUGGCAAUCUGGAGCAGUGACAAUUGUGCAAAUGAUGCAGAUAGGUCUCAAGCACAUGAGUGGUUGGGCAAUAACAGAUAUACAAAUAGUGCAGAGUGACGAUACUACUACAGUGAGUGCAUGAAUAAUGUAGUAGUUGUCUCAGCAGAGAUGUGCAAAAUUGACAGCAUGUUACAAUAGGAUUGUAAGUCAAAUGUUUAAGAAGCUGUUGGAAUGUCUGCUGGUUUUAGUUUGCAUUGAUCGAUAGCACCUACCUGAUGGAAAGAGCUGGAACAGGUGAUGACCAGGAUGUGGACGGUCCAAGAGGGUUUUGCAUGUUCUUGUUUUAGUUCUAGCAGGGUGCAAGUCCUCACAGGUGGGUAUGGAGGUACAGAUUCUUUUUUCAGUAGUCCUGACUGUCCGUUGCAGUCGGAGUUUGUCCUUUUUUGUGAUGGAUGAACACUGGACCGAUUCGAUGAUUGCUGUGUAAAACUGCCUCAAUUGCUCCUGUGGCAGCCUGUGCUUCCUCAGAAGCCGCAGGAAGUACAUCCUCUACUGGGCCUUUUGAGGAGGGAGUUGAUGUUGGUCUCGCACUUCAGGUCCUGAGAGAUUGUAAUUCCCAGGAACUUGAAAGUAUUGACAGUUGACACAGGGCAGUUGGACAGGGUGAGUGGCAGCUGUAGCGAAGGAUGCUUCCUGAAGUCCACGAUCAUCUCUACAGUCUUGACCGUGUUCGGCUCCAGGUUGUGUCGGCCGCACCAAAGCUCCAGCCGCUCCACUUCCUGUCGAUACGCAGACUCAUCACUGUCUUUGAUGAGGCCAAUUAUUGUGGUGUUGUCUGCAAACUUCAGGACUUUGAUAGCUGGGUGCAUUGAAGUGCAGUCGUUCGUGUAGAGAGAGAAGAGCAGCGGACAGAUCCUUGGGGUGCCCCGGUGCUGAUGGUGCGUAUGGAUGAGGUGGUGCUGUGUCCUGUCUAUCAGGAAGCUGUAAAUCCACUGGCAGAUGGCAGGUGAGACGCUGAGCUGGAGAAGCAUGGAGGAGAGAAGUUCGGGAACGAUGGUGUUGAACGCAGAGCUGAAGUCCACGUGCCGUUCAGGUGUUCGAGGAUGAAGUGCAAUCUCAUGUUGACUGCGUCAUCCACAGACCGGUUUGCUCAGUAGGCAAACUGCAGAGGGUCCAGUAGGGGACCUGUGACGCUCUUGCGGUGGUCCAGCACAAGCGUGUGCGUGUGUGCGUGUGUUGACCUGCUGGCAGAGAGCAGUUGCUUUGCUCCACAUCCCUCCUAAUCUUAACGCAGAGUGGUGACCCCUAUUAGCACCCCUUCUUCUUCUGCUCCUUGCUGGUCCCUGAAUCCCCAAAGACAAAAUAGCUGUAAUUAUUUUUUAAUCAAGAAAAAACAUUAUUUUGGGGGAAGAUUUAUUUUACCCCUAAGGCUAAACCCUUAACCUUUUGAAGGGGAUUUGCUUUUCAAGACACAUUUUUUUUUUUAAAGAAAAAAGUAUUGUAGGGAAAGUUUAAAAUUAUUAUGAAGACUAUAAUUAUUUUGGAGGAGAAAAAGAUCAGAAGAAAGAACAAAAGAGAAGUCAUGCGAAAAUAAAAUAUUUUUUUUAAAGUGAGGUUUUUCAAGAAUUGUUGUUUUUCUAUGAAAAUAUGGUAAUUUUACGAGAAAAGUAAGAUUUUUCAAGGAAAAAAGUAUAUUCGCUAAGAAAAAAGUUCAUAAAGAAUCUUAUGAACAAAAAAGGUAACUCUAAGACUAAUGAGAAAAACAUUCAAAUUUCAAAAAGUAAAUGUCAAAACACACGUUCCUAAACACAACACUCUGGGUCUAGAAAUUAUCGUGACUCCUAGAGACUUUCCAUAUACAAAUUAUGUAAUGUUGUGAAAUAUUUGUUAAAAAUACACCUUCACUCUUCAAAGAUUCUGACUUUUCUUCCAUAAAACUGCAACUGGGGAUUGGCUGUAGACUUCCCUGACAUCCUUCCUGUUGUCCCUUUAUCUCCGACUUGAAGCACGUUUAUUGUGUUUCGCUUACUCAAACUUCACGUUGUUGAAGAAGCAAUAGCUUCAUUACGUAAACACUCCCUAUUGACCGACGGGUGACUUUCUGCCGCGCUGUGAAUUGUGGGUAUUGCGCUGAAUUUACGGCCGUCACCGAUGAAGGGUUAUGUUUAUUCAAUCAGGACGUCGAGAUGUCGCCGAUGUGGCCGUCGAAAGCCCAUCAAUCAUCCUGAAAGAGCGUCUUUGGCUCCAUGCUCAAGGUGGCUGAUGACCAGUUGGAUCUCCUUUUCUGUCACAUCCUUCAAGUUUGAUUUUUUCCAAAAACGAAAGUCAAAAAGGGUUUUUUUAAUCAAGGAAAAAAAGAAAUAAAGGCAGACUUUUUGAAAGGGAAAAAACUGAAAUUAUUAAUUUUUAAAAAGCCAUAAUCUCUUCUCUCUCACUCUCUCUUUUUUCAAGAACAAAGUAUAAUCUAAUGAAAGGUAAUUUUUCAACAACAACAAAAAAACUGAUCUUGGGAGGUAUUGAUACAGAGCAGAAAGUGGAGGAAAUAUUUUUUCUUAUGAAACUAAAUUAUCUUUACUCACGAGGCAUUAUAAAAAGAGAGUUUGCUAAAUAAUUUCAUUGCAUAUCUAGAAAAGCUCUAUAGAAAAAAACCUUAUUGUUUUUGUUAGUGGUAAUCAUAGUUGUUGUUGAAUCGAUUGCAACUGGACGUUUCGCCUCAGACAGAUUUAAAAGAAGGGUGAGAGGCACCAUAUACACAAAGGUGGAAAAACCAUCUCUUAACAGAGGAGGGUGCUUACGACAUUAGAGGUGAAACGUCUUCUAAGACAAAGAGAAUAGUCCAGUUGCUAUUGAUUCAAUCCCCUGAGAAUGUAAUGACCUGGAUGAAUGAGAAUAUUCACAGGUAUUUUAGUUGUCGGUUGGAUGUGGGUGUUGAAAAAGUGGAGGGUUGGAACACCAUUUGGCAUUGUGGGCCGUUUCAAAUGUUAUUUUUUGUACAUGCCACGGGCCGCUAAAAGUGGGUCGCAGUUUAGACAUCCCUUAUAUAAUGGGACGGCAUCAUCCCAAUUUUUUUACAGCAACAUGUUCUCUUCCAUCUUUUAUAAAAGUGUGUUCUCUCCCCCACCUUAAAUUACUUCUGGGGGGCUUUGCGUGUAAAAGUCGAUGAAUUGUUUCGAGCAGGUCAGGAUUGGAUAGGGCCUCGGCGUCUGGCAUGGAGAAGAUAAGACCUCUUAUCUACCUCUCUGUUUAACAAACCUGCAACCCCAGCCCCUCUUCCUCUUCGUCAUCAUGACCUCCUCACAUCCCAAACCACAAAAAGACAAAAAAGCUUUGCUAAGAGAUAGUAAGCACAGAAAAGAAACCAUUUGCAACUUGUGCAAGACGCAGACAAACAGGACAACAUACUGGAGCUAUGAAGCAAUUACCUUGAAAGUCUAAUGAAAGUGUCAUGUGUGUGUGUGUUCCGGGUUUUGUCUUCCCCCCUGUUUCACACACACCUGCUCCUGUGAGCAUCUUCACCACCUGUGCCUCGUUCACCCUAAUUACCCCUUGUAUUUAACCUCGUGUCUCAUUCCCUCUCGUUGCCAGUUCGUUGUACCUUGUUGUCGUGUUCCAGCAUUCCUUGUUUCCACGUCACAGACUCACACAGAAACAAAUAAGGAGCCAAGGUGCUAUUCAGCGAGGACAACACGAUGCUGUCACUCCUCCGCCAUCUUUUUCGGAGUGACAGUCCUCCUCUUCCUCGUCUUCUUCGACUUCCUCUUCGAAAUUGACGCUGGCAGCACUUCAUUACUGUCACCAUUUUAACAUGAGGAAAUGACGACAAGCAAUUAUGUAUUGGCAGGAUGCAUACUGGAAUAAAUGUUUAUCAUGAAAUAUGA